GCUCGUCUCUUAUCCGAAUUGAUCGAUUCAUUGUAGUGUUUCAUUCAAGUUGAAGGUAAGCUGAUUUCAACUAGAAUUAUAACUUUAGUCCCGAAUGCUAACUUGAAUGGAAUCUCUCCAAUCGGGAUCUGAGUAGUUGUUCGAUAAGACCAUAGGACACUGUGAAGCUUGUCAACCCAACUUCCUUUAUCUUGAAUGAUUCUAGUCUUCAGGCCUUGGAGAAUCAUCUUGUUGAUCACCUCGGCUUUCCUAUUGGAUUGAGGAUGUCCGACUGAAGUAAGCCUAUGGAUAAUAUGAUACUUCACAUAGAAUUUUUCGAACUUGGUAUUGUUGAACUGUCAGCCGUUGU
rnacentral:lncRNA from 1 species